CACGUAAGGUGCGAGCGUUGUUCGGAAUCAUUGGGCGUAAAGGGCAUGUAGGCGGUCAGGCAAGUCUGGGGUGAAAUGCCGGGGCUCAACCCCGGAACUGCCCUGGAAACUGCAGGACUGGAGUCGCCGAGGCGGAGCCGGAAUUCCAGGUGUAGGGGUGAAAUCUGUAGAUAUCUGGAAGAACACCAAUGGCGAAGGCAGGCUUCGAGCGGACGACUGACGCUGAGGUGCGAAGGUGCGGGGAG
rnacentral:rRNA from 1 species